GUUCUAUUGUUUUCUCUCUCUCCAAGAUUUCAAGUAUUCAAGAUUUGUGUCAAGAUUCAAGGAAGCCACCCAAGCUAAUCAUUAACUAGUUUUUAUUUCUAAACUCUUUUCUUGUUCUAUUUUCAAUAUUCAUAUUGAUUAUGAGAAUAUUUACAAGUUUAAUUGAGUUUUAUUUAAUUAUUAUGUUGAACUAAAACUCUCAUACUAGGGAUUUGAUAUAGCUUAAUUUUGAC
rnacentral:lncRNA from 1 species